CCUACGGGUGGCAGCAGUCGAGAAUCAUUCACAAUGGGGGAAACCCUGAUGGUGCGACGCCGCGUGGGGGAAUGAAGGCCUUCGGAUUGUAAACCCCUGUCAUGUGGGAGCAAAUUAAAAAGAUAGUACCCCAAGAGGAAGAGACUGCUAACUCUGUGCCAGCAGCCGCGGUAAUACAGAGGUCUCACGCGUUGUUCGGAAUCACUGGGCGUAAAGCGUGCGUAGGCUGUUUCGUAAGUCGUGUGUGAAAGGCGCGGGCUCAACCCGCGGACGGCACAUGAUACUGCGAGACUAGAGUAAUGGAGGGGGAACCGGAAUUCUCGGUGUAGCAGUGAAAUGCGUAGAUAUCGAGAGGAACACUCGUGGCGAAGGCGGGUUCCUGGACAUUAACUGACGCUGAGGCACGAAGGCCAGGGGAGCGAAAGGGAUUAGAUACCCCAGUAGUC
rnacentral:rRNA from 1 species